GUGGGGAAUUUUGGACAAUGGGCGCAAGCCUGAUCCAGCAAUGCCGCGUGCAGGAAGAAGGCCUUCGGGUUGUAAACUGCUUUUGUACGGAACGAAACGGUCCUGGUUAAUACCUGGGGCUAAUGACGGUACCGUAAGAAUAAGCACCGGCUAACUACGUGCCAGCAGCCGCGGUAAUACGUAGGGUGCGAGCGUUAAUCGGAAUUACUGGGCGUAAAGCGUGCGCAGGCGGUGCUGUAAGACAGGCGUGAAAUCCCCGGGCUCAACCUGGGAAUUGCGCUUGGGACUGCAGUGCUGGAGUACGGCAGAGGGGGAUGGAAUUCCGCGUGUAGCAGUGAAAUGCGUAGAUAUGCGGAGGAACACCGAUGGCGAAGGCAGUCCCCUGGGCCUGUACUGACGCUCAUGCACGAAAGCGUGGGGAGCAAACAGGAUUAGAUACCCGUGUAGUCC
rnacentral:rRNA from 1 species